UUGAAGAGAAGCCUCCACCAGUUGAAGAGAAGCCUCCACCGGUUGAAGAGAAGCCUCCACCGGUUUAUGUGGAACCUCUUCCUCCACCAGUACCAGUUUACAAGCCAAAGCCACCGGUUUACAAGCCAAAGCCACCGGUUUACAAGCCAAAGCCACCGGUUUACAAGCCAGAGCCACCGGUCUACAAGCCAAAGCCACCGGUCUACAAGCCAAAGCCACCGGUCUAUAAGCCAAAGCCACCUGUCUACAAGCCAAAGCCACCUGUCUACAAGCCAAAACCACCUGUUUACAAGCCUCCAACACCACAAAAGCCAGAGUCUCCUCCAUAUUAUAAGCAUCCAUGGUAUAAGAUUCUCCCUCCAAUUUCAAAGCUUCCACCAUGUCCACCAACUCCAAAGGUUGUUGUCCCUCCAAAGUACUAUUCUCACCCAAAGAUUGGCAAGAAAUUCCCUCCC
rnacentral:lncRNA from 1 species